rnacentral:snRNA from 1 species
AAACUUACCUGGCAGGUAUAUACCAUGAUCACGAAGCUGGUUUUCCCAGGGUGAAACUUAUCCAUUGCACUCUGAAUGUGAUCUCUCCAAAUGCAAGAAACUUGACUGUAAAAUUUGUGGUAAUGGAGGAUUGCCUACAUGCUUUCCCUUG